GAACGACAGGGAAGAAGGGAUGUCGAUCUCGCUUCACGCUGUAAAGUGGAAAGGCAUUCCCGAUG
rnacentral:ribozyme from 1 species